rnacentral:rRNA from 1 species
UGAACGCUGGCGGCAGGCCUAACACAUGCAAGUCGAACGGUAACAGGAAACAGCUUGCUGUUUCGCUGACGAGUGGCGGACGGGUGAGUAAUGUCUGGGAAACUGCCUGAUGGAGGGGGAUAACUACUGGAAACGGUAGCUAAUACCGCAUAACGUCGCAAGACCAAAGAGGGGGACCUUCGGGCCUCUUGCCAUCGGAUGUGCCCAGAUGGGAUUAGCUAGUAGGUGGGGUAACGGCUCACCUAGGCGACGAUCCCUAGCUGGUCUGAGAGGAUGACCAGCCACACUGGAACUGAGACACGGUCCAGACUCCUACGGGAGGCAGCAGUGGGGAAUAUCGCACAAUGGGCGCAAGCCUGAUGCAGCCAUGCCGCGUGUAUGAAGAAGGCCUUCGGGUUGUAAAGUACUUUCAGCGGGGAGGAAGGGAGUAAAGUUAA